rnacentral:rRNA from 1 species
CCUACGGGGUGCUGCAGUGGGGAAUAUUGCACAAUGGGGGAAACCCUGAUGCAGCAACGCCGCGUGAGUGAAGAAGUACUUCGGUAUGUAAAGCUCUAUCAGCAGGGAAGAAAAGGACAGGACCUGACUCACAACCCCCGUCUAACGACGGGCCAGCAGCCGUGGGAAUACGUAGGGGGCAACCGUUAUCCGGAUUUACUGGGUGUAAAGGGAGCGUAGACGGCUUCGCAAGUCAGCAGUGAGAGCCCGGGGCUCAACCGCGGGACUGCUUUUGAAACUGUAUAGCUUGAGUGCAGGAGAGGUAAGUGGAAUUCCUAGUGUAGCGGUGAAAUGCGUAGAUAUUAGGAGGAACACCGGUGGCGAAGGCGGCUUACUGGACUGUAACUGACGUUGAGGCUCGAAAGCGUGGGGAGCAAACAGGAUUAGAUACCCGAGUAGUC